rnacentral:misc_RNA from 1 species
UCAGAAUGUACACUAUGUAGCACUGGCACACCACCAGACGCUUCACUGACAGUGCUACCAGUCCCAUUUCCAUUCUCCUGUAACACAGUAUCUGAGUGUGCAUGCAUCAAUCCCUUUUGACACAUGUAGCAAUCCAUCAUUCUCAACACACGAACUUGCGAUCGUGGUGAUCCUGCGGGAUGCAAGCCGUACCAUUCGCCGUUAUGCAGUUGCAGGUAGGUGGGGGGCAAUGGUGGUAGCUGUGACAGAAGCGGAUACACUGGCUUAUAGUUAGGAUCAUUG